rnacentral:lncRNA from 1 species
GAUUUAUUGUAUGCUGUUCCAGUUUGACUGCUAGGAGGGUAAACCUAUUCGUAUGGUUUCCUAUUCAACUGUCUACAGCAUUCAUAUGCUUGGGAGAAUUUAUUUGUUUCUCCGAUUCGGUGAUUGUGGUGUCUGCCAGAGUGCUUGGAGUCCUCAGGAAGUGCUAGGAGCAUCCUUCAAUGGAGGUACCCAGUCGGGGUGCCAGGC